rnacentral:rRNA from 3 species
UGGCGGCCGUAGCGCGGUGGUCCCACCUGACCCCAUGCCGAACUCAGAAGUGAAACGCCGUAGCGCCGAUGGUAGUGUGGGGUCUCCCCAUGCGAGAGUAGGGAACUG